AGAACGAACGCUGGCGGCAUGCCUAAUACAUGCAAGUCGAACGAACUCUUCGGAGUUAGUGGCGCACGGGUGCGUAACGCGUGGGAAUCUGCCCCUUGGUUCGGAAUAACAGUUGGAAACGACUGCUAAUACCGGAUGAUGACGAAAGUCCAAAGAUUUAUCGCCAAGGGAUGAGCCCGCGUAGGAUUAGCUAGUUGGUGAGGUAAAGGCUCACCAAGGCAACGAUCCUUAGCUGGUCUGAGAGGAUGAUCAGCCACACGUGGGACUGAGACACGGCCCAG
rnacentral:rRNA from 1 species